AACGAACGCUGGCGGCGCGUCUUACCCAUGCAAGUCGAGCGGCAGGCAGCAAUGCCGAGAGCGGAGGACUGGUGAGUAACACGUGGAUAACGUACCCCGAUGUCCGGGACAGCCUGUAGAAAUAGAGGGUAAUACCGGAGAGAUCACUGUUUACGUGAGCUAGACAGCGGGUAAGGAGCUUCGGCUCCGCGACGGGAGCGGUCUGCGGCCCAUUAGCUGGACGGCGGGGUAAAGGCCCGCCGUGGCGAGGACGGGUAUCCGGCCUGAGAGGGCGGACGGACACAGUGGGACUGAGAUACGGCCCAGACUCCUACGGGAGGCAGCAGGUGAGAAUAUUCGGCAAUGGGGGGAACCCUGACGGAGCGACGCCGCGUGAAUGAAGAAGGCCGGAAGGUUGUAAAGUUCUUUUGUGUGCGAGGAAUAAGUUCCGGAGGAAAUGCCGGGACGGUGACGGUAGGGCAGGAAUAAGCACCGGCUAAUUACGUG
rnacentral:rRNA from 1 species